rnacentral:tRNA from 1 species
CGAAGUGUAGCUUAAACAAAGCAUCUCGCUUACACCGAAAAAAUGUCUGUGAAACCCGGACCCCUUCGA